UUUAACCCUGGUCUUUAGUUAAGUCAAAAAAAUUAUUUGCUUUGUGAAGAACAGCAGAGAAGUGCUCGUCGCCGUUCGCCGGGCGAAGCCAUUCAACCAUGGCUGAGAGCGAUGCCGUCAAAAUUUUGUAGAGCCUUUCCCCUACCUCCUACGGUAGGUUCUGCCCGGCUCCAGUUGACAAGAAGGUCAUUUAUGUAUUGAAGGUGAUGCUCAAUUGGGAAUUCCUGCUCACUCGGGGCUUUCAGAUACCUCCUUGCUAUUCUGUUCAGUUCAAUCUUCGAAGUUGCUAAACAGUGACCUCGUGGCUUCCCUUGAUGAAGUGACGGUGGACUUUGGUCCUCCUCUGGCAAGCAAAUGAAAUUCCUCAUGCUCUAUCUCAAUUUUGUUGAUGCCAACAAAAGAAAAUCCACACUGCAGCCAUCGUCAAACCAGCAGUUGUGAGAAAACCGGCUUCCGUUUUUCGUUUUUUUCACAUUUCAAUUCGUUUGCUAAAUACCCAGAAUCUUAAGCAGAGAUAAAAUUAACGAGGUUUUGGUCCAACAAUAUGGUAAAAAUUCAAAAUUGUGGCAACGCGUUAUCUUUGGGGAGGGUGAUUUUGGCCAGAAGAUAUAGUUCAAGUGAAGCAACGAGAGAGUUUUUGGACCCAACGAAAAGUAUAUGUAAAAUUAUGAUGUCUUGCCCAAAAGCAGGGCUUGAAACUUCACUUGACCAAAGUGGGAUUAGGAUUUCACCCGAUGUAGUUGAAGGUGUCCUCAAGAAAUUUGAGAAUGCUGGUAUGUUGGCACACCGAUUCUUUGAGUGGGCUGAGAAGCAAAGGAAUUAUGUGCACAGUAUCAGAGCUUACCACACGAUGAUCGAGUCUUUAGCAAAGAUAAGGCAGUACCAGAUCAUGUGGAAUCUUGUGAAUGCCAUGAGGAGUAAGAGGAUGCUAAAUGUUGAAACGUUUUGCAUAAUUAUGAGAAAGUAUGCCAGGGCUCAGAAGGUGGAGGAGGCUGUGUACACUUUUAAUGUAAUGGAAAAGUAUGACGUGCCGCCAAAUUUAGCAGCAUUCAAUGGCUUGCUAAGUGCUUUAUGCAAGUCUAAGAAUGUGAGGAAGGCUCAGGAAAUCUUUGACAAUAUGAAAUACAGAUUUGUUCCAGACUCAAAAACAUAUAGUAUAUUGCUUGAGGGAUGGGGUAAGGCUCCAAAUUUGCCCCAGGCAAGGGCAGUUUUCAGAGAAAUGGUUGAUGUGGGUUGUAAUCCGGACAUUGUGACUUAUGGCAUCAUGGUUGACAUUCUUUGUAAGGCUGGGAGGGUUGAUGAAGCAGUCGGCAUUGUUAAGGACAUGGAUUCUCAGGUUUGUAAGCCUACAUCUUUUAUUUAUAGUGUUCUGGUUCAUACUUAUGGUAUAGAAAAUCGCAUUGAAGAUGCAGUUGAUACAUUCUUGGAGAUGGAAAGGAAUGGAAUUAAGGCUGAUGUGGCGGCAUAUAAUGCCUUGAUUGGAGCAUUCUGUAAAGUAAACAAGAUCAAAAAUGCAUAUAGGGUCUUGAAUGAAAUGGAAUGCAAGGGAGUGGUGCCCAAUUCAAGAACCUGCAAUAUUAUUUUGAAUAGCUUGAUAAGUCAUGGAGAUACUGAAGAAGCCUUUAGAGUCUUCCGCAGGAUGAUUAAAGUUUGUGAACCUGAUGCAGACACUUAUACAAUGAUGAUAAAGAUGUUCUGUGAGGGGGGUCAGCUAGAAAUGGCUCUUAAAGUGUGGAAAUACAUGAAGAUAAAGCAGUUUGUUCCAAGCAUGCACACUUUUUCAGUGCUUAUUAAUGGACUCUGUGACAAAGCCAAUGUUUCUAAGGCUUGUGUAUUGCUGGAAGAGAUGAUAGAAAAGGGAAUCCGUCCAUCAGGUGUGACCUUUGGGAGGCUAAGACAGUUACUUAUCAAGGAGGGGAGACAAGAUGUGCUUGAGUUUCUGCAGGAAAAAAUGAAUCUCUUAGUCAAGGAGCCUUUAUAUGACUGAGAAACCAUGGCUUCUGAGCUAAAUGGAAUGAUCAAGACUGAUCCAGCUGUUAGAAAAUUUUGUUUAAAUAUGUCAGGGCACAAGCCCCUAUUAAGCUCAAGAACAGCAUUUCUCAGGAAAAGGUUCCUUUCAAGGUUCGGACUUUCAUCUGGACAGUGACACUGAACAGGAUUAACAUUGACAAGUUGUUACAGACAAGAAGGCCCAUCAAGGGCCUUAACCCUGACAUGUGUGUGAUUUGUCAUGAAGCUAGUGAAACAAAUGCUCACCUCUCCUUCACUGGAAGGUGGCUUCACAUCUCUGGAAUGCUCUGUUUUCUGGUUUUGGUGAAGCUUGGGUGUUGCUGCAGUUGGUGGUUGAUUUCCUUUUGCUGAGAUAGGCAAUAGUUGGAAGGGUCAAGUUCUUUGGUUCUACAUGGUUUACGCUAUUAUGUGGACCCUUUUUCUAGAGAGGAAUGGGAGAAUUUUCAAGGAUCAAACCACCUCUCCUUGUUUGUUGUGGGAUAAGGCUGCAUACUUGGCCUAUUUUUGGGCCCAUUCCUUUGGCUUUUUUCAGGGAAUGCUGCUGCCAUACUUAUUUAGGGAUUGGAAGGCAGCACUAUCUAACUCUUGCUUCUGUUUUUAUUCUCUCUUAUUUUUUGUCCUCUUUUGUUUUUUUGACUACUUCUUGUACUUAAGAGGACUUCUUGUGCUCGCCCUGAUGUACCGUUUUCAUUUAGUUAUUAAUGCAUUUUUAUUGUCCCAAAAA